UACGUAGGGUCCGAGCGUUGUCCGGAAUUAUUGGGCGUAAAGGGCUCGUAGGCGGUCUGUUGCGUCGGGAGUGAAAAUUCACAGCUUAACUGUGAACUUGCUUCCGAUACGGGCAGACUUGAGGUAUUCAGGGGAGAACGGAAUUCCUGGUGUAGCGGUCGAAAUGCGCAGAUAUCAGGAGGAACACCGGUGGCGAAGGCGGUUCUCUGGGCCGAUACUGACGCUGGAGGAGCGAAAGCGUGGGGAGCGAACAGG
rnacentral:rRNA from 1 species